rnacentral:rRNA from 1 species
CCCUUAGAUGUUCUGGGCGGCCCGCGCACUACAAUGGCGUGUGCAGCGAGUGCCGAAGUAGAGUUUUCCGAGGUAUUCUUGCAAUGCUCGUUUUGAUGGGGAUAGACCCUUGCAACUGUUGGUUUUGAACGAGGAAUUCCUUGUAAGCAUGGUUUAUCAUCCGACGCUGAAUGCGUCCCUGCCCUUUGUACACACCGCCCGUCGCUCCUACCGAUGAGUCGUCUGGUGAAGUUCGUAGACCUCGUGAUCGCGGAUCACUGGGGGAAGCAAAAUGAACCUCGCGGUUUAGAGGAAGGAGAAGUCGUAACA